UACUCUCUAACCCCCUCAACGGGUACUCUCUAACCGGCCUCAGCAAGGAGGAAACACUCUACUGGUGGUUUUGAGGAAGAGGAGGAGCUGGGCAUGACUAUUUCUGAUCCUUCUGCUCAUCGUGGCAAGAGGUCACCGCUUAGGGUGUGCCAAUCAGAGUUGGCUCUUCAGUGUUGUACCAGGAAAUCUGUGUUCUCCCAGGCCAAGAAGAAUAACCGAAGACUUUACUUUUCAAAGCUGUUGACCUCCUUAAGAUAAAUCUAGAAGGGAAAUCUGAGAUCGUUACAGCUCUUGUGGCUAUGAUGGCUGAGGAUAAAUCACUGGGAAAAAACAGGGUCAGAAUGCAGAGUCAGGAGGAUGAGGGUGCCUGUGUGAAGCAUCUGGAAUGUCAGAUCCAGUCCUGUGAGCUCUUGGUGCCCCAGGAGCCUAGAACCUCUUCUCCUACAGUAACAUCUUUGGCAUCACCACCACGUUGCUUUGUUCGUUUCCUAAGCUGUGUUUGCCAGACCCUCUCAAGGUCUAGGAAACGGAAGCCUCCUAAGAAAGAGGACACCAAGCAGAUUGAGGGAGGAGGUGAUGCUAAGACUCUGAGACCGGGCCUGCUGAGGGGCAUAGGUAAAAACAGGGUGCAGCCUCACCACAGCCUGUAGCAACCUGAAGUAGAUACAGGUUCCCCCUGUGUUUGGUUUUCUGGUUUUCUCUAUGUUGUUAGUGUUAGUUGAGCUCUUAUCUGUCAAAGAAAGAACUGCUUUUAUGCUGAAAAACUCAAGCCUAAUGUGGUAGGAAAAGCAAAGUAACCCAGAGAAUUUUAACACAGUACCAAGUAGCGAAUUGUUCCUAUUUCCUCCCAUUAGGCUGAAGUGAGAUCUGCUCUGGAGCCGUGACUCCCAAAUUCAUGUAUAUUUCACUCAGGUAUUCAGUGGUCUUAAUUUUUCUUAACUCCUCUGAGGAUGGAAACUAUACAACAUCAUUUUGAGUAAUGUCUCCUGGUAUCGACCAUCAAGUGGAGACUCCAUCCAUGCAGCUCCUUUCCUUUUCUUUUACCUUUGGCUAGAGAUACGUUUUGCAUUCUUCAUCUUCUGUCUUUUGCUGAAAAUCUGCCACAUUCUACUUGAUUUCGAUGUGCUGGAGGGGAUGAUGUUUGCUACUGUUCUUGGACAGAAUGCCACUGUCCUCUCCACCUCUCACCAUUCUUUGCUUUUCCUUUUGCCACUUGUUAGUAAGAUACCUGGCUCUUCCUUCUGAAGUGUUCUCUAAGAUUGUUUUGAAAGCACAGUCACACAAAGUAAUGCUCCUUUCUUGUCAUACAUAAUAGCCAGAGUCCUAAGUUCUUCUGAGAGUCCUAAGGAAAACAAGUACUUUAAAAAACUUUGAGAUCAUUUCAUGUCCACUUUGUCCUGACAUGCUAGUUUCAUUCUCUACCCAGGAUAGAAAGUGAUAAUUUAAAUUACUCUUCUGGUCUUCUUUGAGGGAGAGUUACCCCAUAGCUUGAAUUACCUUUUAUUUUUUACUUGUCCCACUUUCUGAAUUCAUGUAAAAAUAAUAAAUGAAGUACAAAUAUGAAUUAGUGUGUGAAGACUCUUCAUAAGAAGGAAGUUGUAUGCUUUCUUCCAUCCUCAGGACUACCUUAAAAUUGGGAAAGUAACCAAUAUUUUUGUUUUUUCUCUUUUCUUUUAGAACAUAGGGCUUUCGAAGUUGUAGUUGGGAAGGGAAUUGAAUACAUUGCAAGAGCAAUGGCAAACAUGCUUGUGAUUCUUCUGGAGAUAAUUAGUACAAACUGGUCUUGAAGAAGUCUUGUGAUGUGGUGAGGAUCUCAAAUUAGAAUUAGAAGUUGCAAAACACCAUAUUCAGUGAUUGGUCUAAAAUGGAGCACCUUUAAAAGUCAGUCAUGACUUGAUACCUUUACUUGUUUAAAAAUGGUUGAUUUCUUGUUUUAGAGAAUAUGGAGUUUUAAUAAUGCUAAUUGACCACUAUAAAUGGGUUCAAGCUAAUAUAUGAAAUUUCAAAUUAUCUAGACUAUCUUAUGUAUCUCAAUUUAAUACAAAUGGCAUAUUCUCUAAAGUAUGCAAAGUCCUGUGUCAUAGAGCCUAUUAUUAAAAGUGCAAAGGAAAAUGGGUCAUAAUUUUGGUGCUAUUAGUACUUUAUUAUUGUUAUUUAUUAUAAAAUGUUUCAAGAUAAGUUGUUAGAUCAUAGAAAAACUGUUAGUGGAGUUUAGUUAGCCACUUCUUCAAUCCCAUCUACAAUACUGAUUUUCACAUCAAGUCUAUUUACCCAAAAUUUAGAGUACAGAUUUCAGAUAAGAAAGGUCUAUACAAGCACUUUGCUUUGUAUUCAAACAAGAGAAACAAGCAGGAGAAAGGGUGUCCCCUCUGAUACCUUUGUAAAUGAGAAAAUGUAUCCUCUCAAAUUUCAAAUUGUGUGUUGCUGUUUUUAUGGUUUGAAUUAUUAAACAUGGU